rnacentral:ncRNA from 1 species
AAUAGAAAACGGCAAACCUCUCGAAAGGGUGGGACGCAAAGCUACAGGUCUAAAGUGCUAACUAUGACGGCUGAGUUGCCUAA